CAGCCGCCGCGGUAAUACGAGGGGGGCAAGCGUUGUUCGGAAUUACUGGGCGUAACGGGCGCGUAGGUGGUUAUGUAAGUGAGAUAUGAAAUCCCCGGGCUCAACCUGGGAACUGCAUCUUAUACUGCGUAGCUGGAGUGCAGUAGAGGGUAGUGGAAUUUCCGGUGUAGCGGUGAAAUGCGUAGAUAUCGGAAGGAACACCAGUGGCGAAGGCGGCUACCUGGACUGACACUGACACUGAGGCGCGAAAGCUAGGGGAGCAAACAGGAUUAGAUACCCCUGUAGUCCCUGUCUCUUAUAC
rnacentral:rRNA from 1 species